rnacentral:lncRNA from 1 species
UUCCAACAUAUUGAAGACACUAUAUGAAACCGGCCUUCAAAGAGGAAUUAAUGGACAAGGUUCACAAGAACCGUGACUCAAGACUCUCCAAACCCUAGUCAAAGAUCGCACAAUAAUCUCAAAAACCCCAUACAAGAACCACCCUAAGCUCUCUCAAUCACACGCACCACAACCCGAUCUACUACAGCCAAAUAUAUCAGCCACAGACUACACAUACGGGCCUAUACACAAGGAUUUUCAGGUACAUCAACCUCUCGCAUGUUUACAGAGAUCACUUUCUCGAAGAAGACCGAAGAAUAAUAUUCAGAGAGAGAGACACAAAACCAAGAAGAAAAGGGACUUAAGUUCUCUGAAAAUCAUAUGGAGCCUGAUCAUAUGAAAAAUGUGGUUUAAUCACAACAAUCCAAGAAAUUCAAUGGCUCAAAUUAGAGUUGGGAAAGCACAAUCCAAGUAAUGAAUAAGUAGCCAGUUGGAGGUUGUCAUGUGGCCUUCCUUACAACAAGUUUACCAAAAAAUUCUCAGUUAAUUGUUAGUUAUUGGAACAUGUUUUCUUUCAAUCUUCGCAUUGAUUCACGAAAUACACUCUCUUAGUUGCAAUGAUUCACAUAGUAAGCUGAUCAUUGUCAUUGCCCAAGUACCUGCAAAAGAAUUACCUAUUAUCAAUAUGUAGAAAUGAUAAACAAACUUUAAACUUACUAUUUCUCAAUAUUAAUUUCACCUAAGGCUAUCUUAUUUCUAAGAAAAUGGUGCUUCACCUCAAUAUGUCUUGACCUCUCAUGAUAGCCAAAAAUUUAAUUAAGGGGGUGUUUGAGCUACAUUAUUUUGGUAAUAAUGCAUUCUUGAAUAGUAUAUUGAUGAGAAAUAUGUGGUUAAAAAAUAAGGAAAAAAUUUUUGAUCUGUGUAAUAUUAUUUUAUUGAAGAAUGUGUGGUUGAAAUUAUGUUAAAUAACUGUUUAAGAAUGUAUUUUUUUGAGAUAAUGUGGCUCAAACAGGCACUAAGUAACAAUGUACUCUGACUAUCAGUAAGAAUAAUGGGAGAAUAAUGCAAAAAAUUCAAUUCAUUCAAAAUGCCUUUCAACUAAAUGCAUUCUUUCACAGCUUCAGUCAUUUCCACAUAUUCAGCUUUAGUACCGGAUAGUGUCACAAUAGACUGUAAUUGGGAUUUUCAAGUUAUACAAUUAUCCUCCAAUGUGAAGAAAUAAGAGAGAGUUUAUUUCCUCUUAUCUUUGUUACCCACAAAGUCAGCAUCUACAUUUCCUUUAAGGAUUAAUCUAUCAAACCUCUUCAAUUUACAAACCAAGUCCGUUUUUUCCUUUACCUCAAAACCUAUGGGUCUCCUCAUAUAGAUAGUUUCCUCCAAUUCCCCAUGUCCAAAAGUAGCUUUAACAACUAAUUGUUCACGUUGCCAAUUGAAUUAAACUAAUGCUAAAAUUAAUCUAAGUGUUUUAUAUUUAAAGACAAAGGAAAAUAUUCCAUUAUAGUUAGUCCCUUCUCUUUGAGCAAAGCAUUUGACUACAAGCUCGACUUUAUAUCUCAAAGGAUCGGGAGGGUUGUUUCCUUCUUUUAAUUUGUAAAUCCACUUAUAUUGUACGGUUGUUUGACCUUUAGGCUUCUUAACCAAUCUCCAAAUCGUAUUUUCAAUUAAGGAUUGCAUUUCUUCCUCCAUUGCCUUUUUCUAGUUAAUAGAUUUAGGCCCAUUCAUAUCUUCUUUAAAAGAAAAAAGGUUAUGAAUAUUCAAUGCCUUCACCUGAAACUAAGGCAAAAUCAAUAAAGUUUUGAGACUCAUAUCUUGGAUUUGGUUUAAUUUGACUUCUUUCUCUAUCACUAUCUAAUUGAUAAUCUUGGAUAAGUUUCUCUUCAAUUAUCAAGGUAUUAGUUUCGAAUCCAGUUCAUUCAUGAGGUACAUCAAUCUCAUCAAUCACGGGUUCAUUCUCAUUACCUCCUUCUUAAGGAAAUACAUGUUCGUUUUUUAUUUUAUUUUUUCAGAUUGAGUGAAGUUAUAUUUUGUCAACUUUACCUCAUUUGGAAAUUUUCUUGUUAGUCAGUUUUAUCAGAAUCAUCAUGUUUGGGUUUUAGACAUGACAUUUCAAAUUCAUUAAACACAAUAUCUCAGCAUUGAUGAUCUUAAUACUUGGUACCUCUAUAACUUACAACAUGUAACAUUUAACCUCAUGAUAACCUAAUAUAAAACAUUUAAUGGCUCUAGGCUCCAACUUGCCCUUAGUUUGGUGUGCAUAAGCUACACACCCAAACACUCUAACGUGUUAAAUUUGGUGACUAUCCAGUCCACAGUUCUUGAGGUGUUUUAAACUCAACAGAACUAGAUGGAGAUCCAUUAAUCAAAUGCAGCAAUGCAUAUAGCCUCAACCUAAAACCUCUUAGCAAGGUCUGAACUGAUUAGCAUGCACCUGACCUUAUUCAUGACGGUCAUAUUCAUUCUUUCUGCAACCCCAUUCUGUUGGGAUGUGUACUUAACUAUCAUGUCUCAUGAAUCCUUUUUGCUUACAAAAGUUAUCAAAUUCCAAGUUACAAAACUCUAGACCAAUAUCAUUUCUCUAAGUUUUUAACUUCUUAUCCAAUUGAUUUUCCACAGUUUUAAGCUAAGUCCUAAUUUUAUGAAAGUCUCAAAUUUAUCCUUUGACGGAUAAACCUAUACUUUUCUAAAAUAAUCAUCUGCUAAGGACAGAAAGUACUUAUUUCAACCAAAUUUGGGAUGCUUUUCAGGCCCCCACAAAUCUACAUGGACAUAAUCUAAAGGUCUCUUAGUUGUAUGUGAUCUUGUCUCAAAAUUCACCCUGUGAGAUUUACCCAACACACAAGUCUCAUAAAAGUUUAGUGGAUCAACAAGACCUUUACCAAGUAAAUUUUGGAAGCUCAAAUAUUUCAAAACUUUAUUCCAUAUAUGCCCCAUUCUUUUGUGCCACAAUUCAGAUUAUCAUCAGUAACACUAUAGAGAUUAGCUAGUUGUGAAGUAAUGGCAUCACCCAUCAGGUAGAACAACCCAUUUUUCUUAGAUCCUUUCAUGACAACUAGGGAUCCUCUCAUGACUUUUAGUGUAUUAUUUUCAAAUUUGAAGAUAUCUCCUUUAUCCUCAAGGAUUCCCAAGUAUAUGAUUUUUCCUUUUUAGAUUAGGGACAUAUUUUACAUUUCUUAAUAGCUUGAAAAUACCAUCAUACAUCUUGAUGGCUAUGUCCCCAGUACCACUAACGGUAGAUGAAUUGUUAUCACCCAUAUAAACCUUUUAGGUUCAAUUUCACUAUAGUUGUAAAACAAUGCCUUGACGAGACAAUUGUGGAAUGUAAAGCCUAAAUCUAAAAUCUAGUCUUGGCUAAUGUCUUCACACGACAUAGUCAUAACAUGUAAGCUGAACAAUUCGUGACCAACAAUGGAAUUGUUCAAUUCCACAUUGUUUUGAUCAUUUUACUUUAUUUUUAUUUUUUCACUUGAAGCAAUCACUCUUAAAGGACCCUAACUUUCUACAACCAUAGCACUUCUUAUUACAUUUAUCUUUGGAUUUAAAUCUCUCCUUAGAUUUUCCUUCUACUUUCUUUACUUGAAAGUUAUUCUCUCUCUUUACACUCCUACCUCUUACAAUCAUAUUUUCUUCCCUAGAGGCUCUUGAUUCCUUUUUAACUUCUAAAUCUCUUGAUCUCAAGGCAACUAUUACAAUUGCUUGUGAUAACUUGUCCUAGAGUAUUUUAUUGCAUCAUUUUAAGAAUCGUGCGGAGAAUCUAAAAAAAUGACGGUCAAAUCCUCAACAUCAAAUUUCUUCUCUUUAUAUGCAAGACUCAUCACAAUUAUGUUAAAAUCGCUUAGAUUCAUUUCUAAAUCUUUCCUGGGUCCAUCCUAAAACUAAAAAAUUACUCUAAAAGGUAAAUCCUAUUUGGCAAGUUAGGAAUAAAGCAUCAAGUGCAGUUCAUAAAUCCCUAGCUUUUGUUAGUUUCGUCUACUUGUCUAACUAUAUGAUCAGACAAAUGCAAAAUUAUAGAACUAUAUGCAAUUUCAUUCAUUUCUUCAAUUUCAGUAGGUUUAGGUUUUAAUUCGGCAGAAAAUGUUUCACAAUCAUAAAGGGCAUUAGCAACCCUUUGUUGGACCAAUAUGACCCACAUUUUCUACAUCCAUAUCGAGUAAUUCCCAUUUCGAUCGAAUUGUGACAAUUUGAUCAUCAAAUCCAUAACAUCUUUGAUAAAAGGUGGUGUGAACUCAAGGCCAUUUGGUAAUUUUAUUUUUAGAUUUCCAAAUGAGCAGAAAAAUAUUUUGAACAACACAAUUAGAUUUUACAAAUCAGUCAGGAACCAAUUUCCAGAAUUAGACAGUAAUGAAUAACAUAUUACAGGGAUUGUGUAUUGCAGAUAUGUGUAAUAUCAAGAAAUAACUAUUAAUUCAUCUAUUAAUAGUUAUGCAAUCUAAUAGUAACACAUAUCAAUUUUUAGCAUGCAUCAAAGGACCAAAACUUGCAUGAGAUUUUAAAGUUAAUUCAAAAUUUAAAUAAUCUCCCCCAAAUUGUUGAAUAACAGUUUAAUACUUUCUGAUUCCUUAUCAAGAAGCCAAGAAUCGAGCAGGCCCACCGCCAAGCUAGUGAAACCAGUAAAGGAUACAAUCUGAAAUACUUAAAGCAAAAAUAUUUGUAAUUGUUAGAAAACUAAAAUAUCAUAUCAAAUUAUUUCAAGAAACCGUAGAGGCCUUCAAUUUUACAGCCAAUAUAUUACUCAAAACACGAGUACAUGACCCAGACUACUAUAAUUGUUUUUCAAAAAUUUCAGAUUACUGUCACUCGAAAAACAGAUUUCAUCAAAGAUGUCUAAUCAAAAAAAUUUUAAUGAAAAAUACUCAAAAUUCCUUAUUCAAGCUCUGGAACCAGAUUUUUUUUUAGGAUUUUGCCCAAAAUCAAUCAAUGACAAUCACAAACCAUAAAUUGCAGAAAAGUAAACAACACAAAUAACACAAGAUAUGUUCAUCCAGUUCAGUACUAAAUGGCCUAAUCUGGGGGCUCAGGAUUAGCCCAAAUACUAUGUGAAACUAGCCUUUAAAGAAGAAUUAAUGUACAAGGAGAACCAAGAUUCAGACUCUCCAAAACCUAGUCAUAGAUAACACAAUGAUCUCAUAAACUCCAUACAAGAACAACCUUAAGCUCGCUCAAUCGCACGCACCACAACUUGGUGCACAAUUGAUAAAUACAUCUACUACAAUUUACAAAUACGAGAUUAUACGCAAGGAUUUUCUUGACCUCUCAUAAAUUUAUAGAGAUCAAUUUCUAGGAGAAGACCAAAGAAUAAUAUUCAAUAGAAAUGGAAACUCAAAACUAAGAAAAAGAUAGACUAAGGGGGUGUUUUCUUUGUGUUUCAGUUUUAUGUUUUGAGUUUUGAAUUCAUUUUGAGUUUUGUGCUUUGAAUGUUUGUUUUGAAAUUGUUGGAAAUGCGUUCUUUUUGUUAGUUUCUCAAAAAAAAAAAAUGAUUUUUUUUUUAUUUUUAUUUUGAGAAUCACCACAACACCACCUCAAAAUACCGAAAAAAAAUCAAUUUUUAAUUUUUUUUUGAAAUUUUGAGAAUCACCACACCAUCUCCUCAAAAAAAAAAAAUUUUUAAUUUUUAAUUUUUUUUUGAAACUUUGAGAAUCACCACACCCCCUCCUCAAAAAAAAAAAAUAAUAAUAAUAAUAAAUAAAUAAAAAAAAGGUGUUUCCCGCGUUUUCAAUUUUUUUUCAAGUUUUACACUGAAAACGCCCAAAACGACAAAAAAGUCGUUUUGUGUUUUCUUCACAAAAUUUUUUUUUUCGUUUUCGAAAAUGAGAAAGAGAACACUUUUUCACCGUUUUGAAAAAUCGAAAACAGAAAAUGGCCCGAAAACGAUAAAGAGAACAGGGCUUAAUUUCUCUCAAAAUUGUACGGAGCCUGACCAUAUGGAA